UGCCCUACAGUUCCCCGUCCGGGACCAAGGAGCUGGUAUCASGCACAUGACCGAGCCGAUGACACCAUGCUUAGCCACACCCUCAAGGGAACUCAGCAGUGAUAGACAUAAGYCAUAAGUGAAAUCUUGACUUAGUUAAAGCUAAGAGGGCCGGUAAAACUCGUGCCAGCCACCGCGGCUAUACGAGAGGCCAAGUUGACAAACACCGGCGUAAAGCGUGGUUAGGGAAAACUCACACUAAAGCCAAACAUCUUCCAGGCUGUUAUACGCAACUGAAGAUAGGAAGUUCAACCACGAAAGUGGCUUUACCAGACCUGAAUCCACGAAAGCUAAGGAACAAACUGGGAUUAGAUACCCCACUAUGCCUAGCCCUAAACAUUGAUAGUAUUAUACACCCACUAUCCGCCCGGGAACUACGAGCAAUAGCUUAAAACCCAAAGGACUUGGCGGUGCUUUAGAUCCACCUAGAGGAGCCUGUUCUAGAACCGAUACCCCCCGUUCAACCUCACCUCUUCUUGUUUAACCCGCCUAUAUACCGCCGUCGUCAGCUUACCCUGUGAGGGAUUAAUAGUAAGCAAAACUGGCACAGCCUAAAACGUCAGGUCGAGGUGUAGCGUAUGGAGGGGGAAGAAAUGGGCUACAUUCGCUACUCCAGCGAACACGAAUAAUGCACUGAAACGUUCAUUUGAAGGAGGAUUUAGCAGUAAGCAG
rnacentral:rRNA from 1 species